CUUGGUCAUUUAGAGGAAGUAAAAGUCGUAACAAGGUUUCCGUAGGUGAACCUGCGGAAGGAUCAUUACAAGUGAGGCUACCGAACGUUGGAAACAGCGGUUAGGAGCUUACACCCACCCGUGUUUACAUACUAUUGUUGCUUUGGCGGGCCGUGGCCUCCACUGCGGGCUCUGCUCGUGUGUGCCCGCCAGAGAACCAAACUCUGAAUGUUAGUGAUGUCUGAGUACUAUCUAAUAGUUAAAACUUUCAACAACGGAUCUCUUGGCUCUCGCAUCGAUGAAGAACGCAGCGAAAUGCGAUAAGUAAUGUGAAUUGCAGAAUUCAGUGAAUCAUCGAAUCUUUGAACGCACCUUGCACCCUUUGGUAUUCCGCAGGGCAUGCCUGUUCGAGCGUCAUUUAACCACUCACGCCUAGCGUGGUAUUGGGGCACGCGGUCUCCGCGGCCCUCAAAAUUAGUGGCGGCGCCGGUGGGCUCUAAGCGUAGUACAUACUCCCGCUAUAGAGUUCCCCCGGUGGCUCGCCAGAACCCCCAAUUUUUACAGGUUGACCUCGGAUCAGGUAGGGAUACCCGCUGAACUUAAGCAUAUCAAUAAGCGGAGGAA
rnacentral:sRNA from 1 species